rnacentral:rRNA from 1 species
GAAACCCAUACCCACAGUUGCGAGCAGGUCUCUUCGGAGAUGCUGGGCACACUGUGGGGACCGCCAUCGCUAAGAUGGAUGAAGGUAUGGGCCACGGCAGGUCAGUAUGCCCCGAAUCCCCUGGGCCACACGCGGGCUGCAAUGGCGAGGACAAUGGGUUGCUACACCGAAAGGUGACGCUAAUCCCGAAACCUCGUCGUAGUUAGGAUUGCGGGUUGUAACCCACCCGCAUGAAUAUGGAAUCCCUAGUAACCGCGUGUCACCAUCGCGCGGUGAAUAC